ensembl:snoRNA
AGUUUUGUCCCUUUUUUCAUCAGAUCUCAAUGCUGAUCUUGGUGGUUUGUAAAGGAAAACAAGUACACUGAAGCUGGCCUCACAGCAAUGUAGUCUAAUACAGAGCAUAGGUCCAGAUUCAAACACAA